GGGGAAUAUUGGGCAAUGGGCGCAAGCCUGACCCAGCAACGCCGCGUGAGGGAAGAAGGUUUUCGGAUUGUAAACCUCUGUCGCAGAUGACGAAGGAAGUGACGGUAAUCUGUGAGGAAGCCCCGGCUAACUACGUGCCAGCAGCCGCGGUAAUACGUAGGGGGCGAGCGUUGUCCGGAAUUACUGGGCGUAAAGGGAGCGUAGGCGGUCGAUUAAGUUGGAUGUGAAAUACCCGGGCUUAACUUGGGGGGUGCAUCCAAUACUGGUUGACUAGAGUACAGGAGAGGAAAGCGGAAUUCCUAGUGUAGCGGUGAAAUGCAUAGAUAUUAGGAGGAACAUCGGUGGCGAAGGCGGCUUUCUGGACUGACACUGACGCUGAGGCUCGAAAGCGUGGGGAGCAAACA
rnacentral:rRNA from 1 species